rnacentral:rRNA from 1 species
UGGAGGGCCAAGUCUGGUGCCAGCAGCCGCGGUAAUUCCAGCUCCAAUAGCGUAUAUUAAAGUUGUUGCGGUUAAAAAGCUCGUAGUCUGAGGUCUGUUCCGGACUGGCUGGGGAGGUCACCGCCCGGUGCUUGCCCGUCAGGUUCCGAACAGCUUCUGCCACGAGCGGAAGCCAAGCCGGUUCUGCCGGGGUGCUCUUGACCGAGUGUCCCGCGCGGCCGGCCGGUUCACCUUGAACAAAUGAGAGUGCUCAAAGCAGGCUACUCUUAAAACUAAAGCCCGAAUGUUAACUGCAUGGAAUGAUGAAAGAUGAUCUCGGUUCCAUUUUGCUGGCUGUGGGACUCCGAGUUAAUGAUAAACAGGGACUGUCGGGGGCAUCCGUACUACGACGCGAGAGGUGAAAUUCAAUGACCGUCGUAGGACGAACAACAGCGAAAGCAUUUGCCAAGAAUGUCUUCGUUGAUCAAGAACGAAAGUUAGAGGAUCGAAGGCGAUCAGAUACCGCCCUAGUUCUAACCCUAAACGAUGCUGACUAGCUAUUCGCCGUCGUUAUUCCCAUGACGUGGCGAGACGCCCCCGGGAAACCUCAAGUCUUUGAGUUCCGGGGGUAGUAUGGUUGCAAAACUGAAACUUAAAGGAAUUGACGGAAGGGCACCACCAGGAGUGGAGCCUGCGGCUUAAUUUGACUCAACACGGGAAACCUCACCAGGCCCGGACACCAGAAGGAUUGACAGAUUAAGAGCUCUUUCUCGAUUUGGUGGGUGGUGGUGCAUGGCCGUUCUUAGUUGGUGGAGUGAUUUGUCUGGUUAAUUCCGGUAACGAACGAGACUCUGGCCUACUAACUAGUGGAUGGGUGUCCCUGGUAACGGGCCCCAUCCGAUAAUGUCUUCUUAGAGGGAUGAGCAGCGAGUAUAGCUGCAGGAGAUUGAGCAAUAACAGGUCUGUGUGCCCCUUAGAA